UAGCACUAGCCGUCAUCCCCACCUUAUCACCCCUCCUCCAGCCGCCAUCGCCGACCCUUCCCCCUUGUUUCUCCGAUCAGUUGCCGACGAGUAGGACCAACGAAGCCAGCAACCUUGCCCCACCUUUCUGACCGAGAGCUUUGUUGGAGACCAAGUUGGAGCAAAGGUCCCCAGCCGCCGCAACCAUGGGAAUGACUUCAAUCGUUGCUGCUUCGCCGUGGGUUGCCGCCGUCGCAGCCCCGCUGCCGGUAACGCGUGUUCGUCGUGAUAGCCGCAAGGACCGACGACCGAGUGGGGUUUUGCUGCUGCAAGAGGCGUGAGUGAUCAGAAGAUCGAUGGUGAUCCCAUCCGCCGCCAUAGGUCCAUAGUGCAAAUGAGAAUCAUGUGUGCGGGGCUGUAUUUCCAUAUUUAGUGUGUGAUAUGUGUGUGUUGUCUAGCCGGAAUUCCUAAGAACAGCCGCCGACCACCGCUAGGGUGGUUAUGUGUGUGUGUUAUAAUUAGUUAGUGUGUGCGUGUGUGAUCAUUUUGAGUUAAGCACUGUAAUUGUAAUUAGCAAUGUAAUUGUAAUUAGCAAGAUGAAUAAUAAAAAGAAACUCAAAACCACCACCGUAAGGUGGUGGCCGCCGCCGUGUGCCGCCUUAGACCACCACUACCCGAGGUGGUAGUGGGUGGUGCCCCGCUAGCAAACCCUAAUGGGCUUAGACAAAAAUUGGACCAUGUUUGGGUGGAAAACCCUAAUCAUGAGUAUUGAGCCUUAGACUUAUUGGACCCAUUUUUGGGCCAUUGAGAUUGGAUUGUAUAUUAAGCUCAAAUUCUCCAUACCAAUUAUCUAGUAAAGGACUUAAUGGACUAAGUCCUUAAUGGGCUAAUUGAGAAAAUACUAAUAUUCGAGAAAGUAUCAAGACACACACACAGGAAUUAUUUAAUAAAUGAAAUAUUAAAUAAUAAUCAUUGACAGAGAUUAAUCUAAGCAUAAUUGACUUAAUGGAUUAAGUCCUUAGUGGGUUAAGCCCUUAAUUUCAUCAUUUUAUGUGAAAACCUAAUUUCACUUGGGCUUGGUGUUGGGCCAUCCAAGAUUAAUCAAAUGGACUAGAAUAAUUAGUUGGGCUCUUGGGUAAGGCCCAUAUGAAGGAUUGGGCCUAAUUUGGAAAAUUGGGCCAUAAAUGGACCAUAGUUGGGCCUCGUUGGUUGUAUGAUAUUGGGCCCUUAGAAUGAGACAUGUUGGACCGGACUGAGCAAUUGGGCCUUAAGGGAAGUCCAUGUAGAGGUUUGGGCCCAAUUUGGAAAAUUGGGCCAUAUGUUGGACUUUGAUCCCUAGUUGACUUUGGGCCUAUGGAUUGGGCCUUGGGCUUGGGUAAGCCAAGCUAGGGGUAAUGUAGUAAUUAUCCAAAGCAUGUAUUUUUAGUUAUGUGUUAGAACCCAAUUAUUAAUUGGGUGUUAUUUGGUGUUGACAGUUCGGGAAUCUGUCAGCCAGCAGCUGGGGUGGAGUCUGCGGGACUUCAGCAGUGUGGGAUUGUGUCUACGAGACUUCAGCAGUGUGAGGUGAGUUUCCUUCCAGUAGGAACGGGUCUACGGCCACAAUGCCGGCCCGUUUAGUUAGCAGUAGUUCCGGACUUCAGUCCGAUGCAGUAGUUCAGUAUGCUUGGUGUCUUUGUGAUACAGACAUGGUAUGAGUUAUGUGUCCCGGACUAUGGUCCGAUGCAGUAUGCAGUAUAUGUGUUUAUAUUAUAUGCUAUGAUUAUGUUAUGCUAUGUUUAGUUAGUUCCGGACCUCGGUCCGAUGCAGUAGUUAGAGUGCUUGAUGUCUUUGUGAUUCAAGCAUGUUUUGUGUUAUGUGUUCCGGACUCUGUUCCGAUGCAGUAUGCAGUAUAUGUAUUCAUGCUAGUUGAUAUGUUUAUGCUAUGUUAUGUUCAGUCAGUUCCGGACUUCNAGUUAGUUCCGGACUUCGGUCCAAUGCAGAGGGCAAGGCCCUGGUUAGUUCCGGACUCCGGUUCGAUGCAGUUUCCGGACUUUGGUCCGAUGCAGAGGGCAAGGCCCUGGUUAGUUUCUGGACUUCGGUCCGAUGCAGUGGGCAAGGCCCAGUAGAUGCUUUAUAUGUUAUUGUAUGGUAUGUGGUAGUUUGGGGGAGCUCACUAAGCUUCGUGCUUACGGUUUUCAGUUUUGGUUUCAGGUAGUCAGUUUUCAAAGGAGGAGCUCGGAAAGAUUGAAGUGUACACACCAUUUGUUCAGCCUGGGAUGUUUAUACUCUGAUAUAUUUAACAGUUGUUAAGAUAUUUUGAGAUACAUUCUUUAUGAUUCUUAUAUGACGAUUGAUGAAUAUGGUUUUAUUACUAAUUUUAAACGAAAUUCAGACUGUAUUUUUGGGAUGUUACAACUCCUUACUUACAAACUAAAAGAACACAUCACAAAACACUUACAAUGGUGGCCAUUAUAUUGGAAAUAAUCAAAAAUAAAUUCAAGUA
rnacentral:lncRNA from 1 species